rnacentral:rRNA from 1 species
UACGUAGGUGGCAAGCGUUGUCCGGAUUUACUGGGCGUAAAGAGCGCGCAGGCGGUCGAGUAAGUCGAAUGUGAAAGCCCCCGGCUUAACUGGGGAGGGUCAUUGGAAACUGGGGAACUUGAGUGCAGAAGAGGAAAGUGGAAUUCCAAGUGUAGCGGUGAAAUGCGUAGAGAUUUGGAGGAACACCAGUGGCGAAGGCGGCUUUCUGGUCUGUAACUGACACUGAGGCGCGAAAGCGUGGGGAGCAAACAGG